rnacentral:rRNA from 1 species
AUUGAACGCUGGCGGCAUGCCUUACACAUGCAAGUCGAACGGUAACGGGCCUUCGGGUGCCGACGAGUGGCGAACGGGUGAGUAAUGCAUCGGAACGUACCUUUCAGUGGGGGAUAACGUAGCGAAAGUUACGCUAAUACCGCAUAUUCUGUGAGCAGGAAAGCAGGGGGAUCGCAAGACCUUGCGCUGAUUGAGCGGCCGAUGUCAGAUUAGCUAGUUGGUGAGGUAAAGGCUCACCAAGGCGACGAUCUGUAGCGGGUCUGAGAGGAUGAUCCGCCACACUGGAACUGAGACACGGUCCAGACUCCUACGGGAGGCAGCAGUGGGGAAUUUUGGACAAUGGGGGCAACCCUGAUCCAGCCAUGCCGCGUGAGUGAAGAAGGCCUUCGGGUUGUAAGCUCUUUCGGUCCGGGAAGAAAUCGCAUGGGUUAAUACCCUGUGCGGAUGACGGUACCGGCAUAAGAAGCACCGGCUAACUACGUGCCAGCAGACCGG